UCGCCUUUCCGUUCGCGUUUCAGAGUCUCAUGACGAUUUGCACUACGAGCGGACGGUGAGAAACGGAGCUGAAACGAUUUCUUUCUGUGCGCGUCUUGGAAAACCCGUUGCCACUUUGCCAGCCCUGUAUUUUCAGACAUUCACGGUAAAUCAAUAAAACUACACGAUGAACAUUUCGCUAACAAAUAAAACACCAUCACCCGUGGUGGUACGCGUCAUUGUUAGUAUGUGACACCAACAAGAUAACAAUAAUAACAACAACAACGACGGAACAUCAACGACCAACUCGAUAUACAGGCGCGGAACACGCAACGAGCACAGCGGGCAGCCAUAUUAUUACCGUCUUUUCGCAGUCCGCACCUCUGCUGUAGACAUAAUGGUAACCCGCGCCACGGACUCGUUGCUCACCUGCCAGGUGAGGAGAAGAAGGAGAGGGCAAAGGAAGGGGUUCGAGGGAGGGGCAUUAUGGCGGGGAGACAGUCACUUUGCCUCUCUCGUUACUCCUGCGCUGCUACGUUUAUUUUGCUGCUUCCUCUGCACUCUCAUUUCCUUGCUUUCCGAGCUGACGAUCAAUCUGCAUAACGCUCGGCCUUUUUUCAAUUUGAAUUAUUACUCUGCUGUACGUUCUACGAAUUGGAAACACGUCAACCCGUCCGUUUACGAUGAAUAGAAUUACAAUGCACAGAUCAAAGGCUUUAUUGCUAACAAUAUUUUGCAUUCGUGUUUGAUCGAAGAAGCAUUCUGUAAACAUUUCCAGAGUAUUUUCUUCUAUGUUUUUAAAUUUUUACACAAAUUUAUUAAUCCUAAUCUUUUAUACACGUUAUUAAGGGUUGAUAACCGUUACCACUUGAAUUAUUUCAAAAACUAUAACGGGUAGAAAAAACUUUAUAUAGAUUCCUUUUUUAAAACCUUCAGCAAAUUGAAUUAUCGCUCGUAUUUUCAAUUAUCGAAAUUACGUUUUUAUUUACAAUUUACUUUUAUUACAGUACAGAAGUCGACAAAUUUAUAGUCUACAAUUUUUGCAAAAACAGAAUGUAAUUUGUGAAUGUUAUUAAAACUUGAUGACUGUGCUGUAAUGAUUAUCAACAUCAACAUUCAGUAUCUUGUAUUACAUUAUUUGCAUUUGUUAAUCUUUGAAGUUAAAUUGUAAUUUCAUUUUCAUCCUGACUGUCAGAGCGUUAAUCAUUUUAUGAUAGAACAUUUUAUGUUAAUAUGCUCAGAAACGUUGAGGGAAUCUGAAAGUUAAAACAACAGUAUUUAAAUGCAAAUUUCAAAAUCUCUACGUAUAUUUAUGAAUCAAGCAAUCUAAACUAAAAUAAAGUUACCAACACCUGAUAAUUUAAUCUGAUAAGAGCAUACUUUAAGACGAUAGAAGACGAUGAUUACUAAAAAGAAAUUUUACUUGUAAUAUUUAAAUAAUACUGUUAAUAGUAAACUAAUGAUAAUUUAUAUGAAUCAAAUUGAAAAAUCAAAAAUUCUUAUUACAGUCGGAUGUCAAUAUAUUAAUGAUACUUUUUGCACUUGUAACAAAAUUCAAUUAAAACGAAAUAAUAGAUAGAAAUCUUGACAAUUUUCUUAUACUUCCGCUUCUUUAUAAUUCUAAUGACCAUAAUCACGAACUGAUUAGAUCGAAUGACGUUUCAUCGGAAUAUAAUUACAUAAAUGUUUCAUAGACGCAGAUGAACCGUUUCACAACAAAAAGAAAAGAAGUUGAUAACUAUGGUCAUUAUCAUUCGGAAAGAUAAUAACUAAACGUUCAUUUAUAAAACUUGCUAAAUAACUUUGCUGUUGACUGGUAAUCAGGAAGAACGUAUUAAGUUUUCACCGAUAUCUUGAACGUUUACUCGUAUCUGAGAACGUGUUCGACUCUAUACAACCAAAUGAUAUCCGUUAAAUGUUGCACGACUGUAAUUUAAGCGCAAUUUUAAAAAGGUAGUACAGUGCUCGAGGGUCUUAAUGAUUAUGUUGAAUAAUUGUGUAUCGGCCUGUUGUUACCUUGUUACGACCCUCGGAAUUAUACUUAAUUUGUAGCCAUAAGUACACCUUACUUUAGUUUACA